rnacentral:miRNA from 1 species
GAAUUGAUCAGGAUGUAACCA